rnacentral:rRNA from 1 species
UGGGGGAUAUUGCACAAUGGGCGAAAGCCUGAUGCAGCGACGCCGCGUGGGGGAUGAAGGCUUUCGGGUUGUAAACCUCUUUCGCUAUCGAACAAGGCCCGCUUAGGGUGGGUUGAGGGUAGGUGGAGAAGAAGCGCCGGCUAACUACGUGCCAGCAGCCGCGGUAAUACGUAGGGCGCGAGCGUUGUCCGGAAUUAUUGAGCGUAAAGGGCUUGUAGGCGGCUUGUUGCGCCUGCUGUGAAAACGCGGGGCUUAACUUCGCGCGUGCAGUGGGUACGGGCAGGCUUGAGUGUGGUAGGGGUGACUGGAAUUCCAGGUGUAGCGGUGGAAUGCGCAGAUAUCUGGAGGAACACCGAUGGCGAAGGCAGGUCACUGGGCCAUUACUGACGCUGAGGAGCGAAAGCAUGGGUAGCGAACAGG